GUAUUUUGACUAUACAAAGGUAUUGUAAUAAGAUUUUAAUUGAAUGCUAAAAGAAUGGAAAAUUAAAAAAAAACUUUUUUAAAAAUAAAAAUUGAAUUUUUUUUAAUUUGUGCAAAAACAAUUAUAUUUAUUAAAGACAAGAAGACCCUAAGAAUUUAAGAUUUUACAAUUAAAAAGUUUUUUUUUAAAAUCUUGAUUGGGGCGAUCAAAAAAUAUUAAUAACUUUUUAAAAUUUAAAUUGAUCUAUUAUUAAUAAACUAAUGAAUUAAAUACUCUAGGGAUAACAGCGUAAUAAUUUUUGAUAGAUCUUAUUGACAAAAUAGUUUGCGACCUCGAUGUUGGAUUAGGAUUCUUUUUUAAUGAAGAAGUUAAAAAAAGAAGUUUGUUCAACUUUUAAAUUCCUACAUGAUC
rnacentral:rRNA from 1 species